GGCGGGAUGGCCGAGUUGGUUAUGGCGCCAGGUUAAGGUCCUCCUUAGCACAAUCUCCUGGUUCGGGAAACUGAGCGUGGGUUCAAGUCCCACUUCCGUCA
rnacentral:tRNA from 1 species